rnacentral:rRNA from 1 species
GACGAACGCUGGCGGCGUGCUUAACACAUGCAAGUCGAACGGUAAGGCCCUUCGGGGUACACGAGUGGCGAACGGGUGAGUAACACGUGGGUGAUCUGCCCUGCACUUCGGGAUAAGCCUGGGAAACUGGGUCUAAUACCGGAUAGGACUCCUGGCUUCAUGGUUGGGGGUGGAAAGCUUUUGCGGUGUGGGAUGGGCCCGCGGCCUAUCAGCUUGUUGGUUGGGUAAAGGCCUACCAAGGCGACGACGGGUAGCCGGCCUGAGAGGGUGACCGGUCACACGGGGACUGAGAUACGGCCCAGACUCCUACGGGAGGCAGCAGUGGGGAAUAUUGCACAAUGGGCGCAAGCCUGAUGCAGCGACGCCGCGUGAGGGAUGACGGCCUUCGGGUUGUAAACCUCUUUCAGCUAUGACGAAGCGCAAGUGACGGUAGUAGCAGAAGAAGGACCGGCCAACUACGUGCCAGCCGCCGCGGUAA